ACAGUUCUUUUUCGAAAUUCUUUUGUGUUGGGAUCAGAGGGUUGACAUUUGCAGGGGCAAAAUAAUUUUCUGUCUGUUCUGGAUUUAUUAAAGCAGCUGUCAUAUUCCACCCUCCCCCUCCUCGUUGCACGGUUUGUGUGCAUGGAUGUGGCUGUGCGGACGAAUCGUGAUACAAGGUAGUCCCACUCGGUGCUGGGAGAGUGGAAGGAGAAUACGCAGUUGGGUGUUCGAGGAGAUGCGGUCGUGAUUCGGUGCUGCUUUGGUCGGCUGCGGGAUGCGGCGGCGGAGAUCCGGCGGGGGCGGGGCCGUGGAGAUGGAACUGUUGAGUGUGGCUGAUCCCGGAAGCAGCGCUGUGGUUGGAUGAGGCGGCGCGGAGUGAUAUUGGUGGUGCGGCGGUUGUAGCAACUGCGCAUGCGUGCGUUGCGUCACUAGACUCGCGGCGGCAAGGGGCGGACUCUCAGCGGGACCAGAGCUUGGCGGGGCGACUGCUGCGGGCAUCCCCCGUGCAGCAAACAGCUCAACCAGCGCCCUGCAAGCUGGGACUAGCUCUGUGGCAGCUAUAUCUCGGCGGGAAAUACUAUUAAAGAGCUUAAUUCUAACUGUGUCUCAAAAGUCUCUGGUAAAGACGGCUGAACGGUCAGCAUUUGGGAAAUUAAUUAAAGUCUAUUCUAAGAGGUUUUUUAACUCUUGUUUCGGUAAUUGACUUGGCAUAGAACUCAAUAAAUGCUUUAGUUGCUUAUAGAGA